UCAGAGGACACCUGGUAAAGAAGCUGGUUUUUAGAUAAAGAAAUGCAAUUCCUGGUGCACGCGGUUUCCUGGUGGUACAGCACUGAAGUGACAUCAUGGAAAUAUUUGUACCUCAAGAGCCCUCCUUGAUGUGAGCACAAGGGACCUCCAUGCUCCUACUUCUGCUGGUCUCCAUUUCACCAGGCGCCUCCCUCCGACUUCCAAUUGGCCACAAGCUUCGUCGCUCUCUCUCAAAGCAAUUUUGUGUGUGAGUAUAGUCAGAAGGUGAGUUCUCACUUUCGUGUCCCUCCAUAUUCUGCCAGCUCCUGGAUUUCCAGACCUCAAGCAUCAGAGACCCAGUGUCCCUGGACUCCCUCGACUCCCCAGGCUGCUCCCAGCCAUCACACACUCUCUGAAAUGGUGACCCUCAACUCCCAGGUUCACCUUUUUCCCAAAGGCACUGCUCAUAGGCCUAGGAUUUGGCCGUGUGACUGAAGUAGAGAAAACAAAGCCAGGGGACAUUCCUUCUCUUCCCCAAUGUUGGGACCUCCAAGAUGCUGGGUCUACUGGGAUUUGGCAGUGAAUUCCAUCUGCCUAUUCUUGGUGCAACAGACCUUCUCACUGGUUUCCACUGCCCACACAUUUAACGGGUGCUAGACAAAGACAGGGGCCAGAAGCAGGGGCAGUGGCACCCAGGGCUCCUUCCCUCCCUACCUCCCUCCCUUCCUCCCUCCCUCAGGCCACUUGUGUGGGGCCACAUGAGACUUCUCUAAAGUUAGACACACCAGCAGAUGGGUACUGGGGGAGAGGAAGGCACACAGGUGUCACAGCCAACUAGCACCUCUGGUCCUCCCACUCUUCCCCUCCCCUCCAGGCCUCCACCUCCAGUAGUAACAGAAAAACACUGCAGAAACCCAACAGUCAAAGAAUGAGAAGUGUUGUCUUACAACUUCUGGUUCUACCCCAAGUCGGGUUUGUCCUUCAUGAUCUUGGAUUUAGUUGAGUGAAAAGGGGAAAGUACCUAGAUUCACACAGGACUACUGGCUGAUGUUGUGGCAUUUUGUUUAUCUGAGCUUGCAUAAUGUAAUGCACAUUUGAGGAGGCGGUAGGGAUAUUCCCGUAAUUUCCUAGAGGAUGAAUGUCAAAGCUAAAGCUAAACCAAGGUGAAUGUAGUUUAUAUAAAGAAUAGCCCCACUAACAACUGAGAGGAAAAUGCUGAUCCCGGGAAGAAUACUGCAACAAGCACUAAUGGAUAACAUACAGAAAUAAUGCUUUAAUAAUGCAUGCGAUCAUGUUUUUAUUAACAAAGAAAGUCUUGUUUCAAAACAAAUACAUCCUUGAGAGGAGUCUGAAAUUAAUCCCCAAUAGGCAGAAAUCCACAUUAUUAUAUAUUCUAAUUAUAAUUACAACCUGCUCUUAAUAUGAACAUUCUAAAUUAUUAGUCACUUUAUUAAGAACCAGAAAGAGGACUUCCUGCUGCAUAAUGAGAAGUACUCACAAGCUUCGAGAAUGAGAAAAGCAAGAGACAAUUCUGCACAGAGCUGGAAAGUAGUGGAUGUAAUUUAUUUAAUAAAAGUGCCUCCUUUCUCCUUUUUUGUUUAGGAAUUGGUACACCCUUAGGGGUUCAGACAGCACCAAGGCUUCAGAGCUGCACUUUCUAGGGCAAGACAAAAAUGUGUAUCACAGAAAAAUAACGAUUUAUCAUUGUAACAGUUACAUCCCACUACGGAAACCACCAGAGACUGCUUAACAUUUUUAUUUCAAACACGGUUUUCCCUAGUUUUCAGGUGACAAACGGAGACAGAUGCCAGAAGGUGUUUUUCCAUUUGUUCCUAAUAAAAAUGGCUAAAUUCUGA